rnacentral:rRNA from 1 species
ACGAACGCUGGCGGCAUGCCUCACACAUGCAAGUCGAACGAAGGCUUCGGCCUUAGUGGCGCACGGGUGCGUAACGCGUGGGAAUCUGCCCUUAGGUUCGGAAUAACAGUUAGAAAUGACUGCUAAUACCGGAUGAUGACGUAAGUCCAAAGAUUUAUCGCCUGAGGAUGAGCCCGCGUAGGAUUAGCCAGUUGGUGUGGUAAAGGCGCACCAAGGCGACGAUCCUUAGCUGGUCUGAGAGGAUGAUCAGCCACACUGGGACUGAGACACGGCCCAGACUCCUACGGGAGGCAGCAGUGGGGAAUAUUGGACAAUGGGCGCAAGCCUGAUCCAGCAAUGCCGCGUGAGUGAUGAAGGCCUUAGGGUUGUAAAGCUCUUUUACCCGUGAUGAUAAUGACAGUAGCGGGAGAAUAAGCCCCGGCUAACUCCGUG